rnacentral:rRNA from 1 species
AUGUAUUCAAUGCCCAAUGGAGAGCAAGAGCAGGACCCGAAAGGAGAAGCGAGCGGCGGCGACAGUGGCGAAUGGGAGUUUGAUGGUAGAGGAGACGAAGAAAGCGACGAUCCAAGUGACGAAGAAGAAGUCGAGUCGCCUCCUCGCAGGGAGAGGAGGUCCAAACUUGACCAAGAACGACUGAGCGCCCGUGAAAAGGCGAUUGCUCAAGCUGGUCAGUCUUCAAAGCGUCCUCAGACCUCUUCGCCAACUCCGACUGAAAAAGCGUCAAAGCAUCCCAAAGUCGCAGAGCCGAAGCUUCGGAAGGCGUUGCCGAAGAUUAAGAUUGACAUCCCCAUUGCUUUCGCGUGA